rnacentral:lncRNA from 1 species
AACAACCACAUUAACAUGAACACUUGCAUGCAUGCAUGAUUAAUAAGGGUUACAACCCAAUAGUAAAAUAUGAACCAUAUCUCCUGGCCAGAUACAAAAUGAUUUGUUAACCAUCGUAAGCCAUUACACUUGGUUAAUUUAAAUGACACAUAUAACUAAAAAGAUAAGUUACCCUAUACAUGCCAUUAUAUCAAAAUAAAUAGUUCUUUUAUAUCCAAAACGAGAUUGGUGAUAGUGUGAUCAAAGCUCUAACCAUCCUCAAACCUUCAUGAGUCGGC